rnacentral:rRNA from 1 species
GUGGCGGACUGGUGAGUAACACGUAAGAAACCUGCCUAUUAGAGGGGAAUAACAACGAGAAAUCGUUGCUAAUACCGCAUAAGCUAGUAGUACCGCAUGGUACAGCUAGAAAAGGAGAAAUCCGCUAAUAGAUGGUCUUGCGUCCGAUUAGCUAGUUGGUGGGGUAACGGCCUACCAAGGCAACGAUCGGUAGCCGAGCUGAGAGGCUCAACGGCCACAUUGGGACUGAGAUACGGCCCAGACUCCUACGGGAGGCAGCAGUCGGGAAUAUUGCGCAAUGGAGGAAACUCUGACGCAGUGACGCCGCGUAUAGGAAGAAGGUUUUCGGAUUGUAAACUAUUUUAGACAGGGAAGAAAUUGACAGUACCUGUAGAAUAAGCUCCGGCUAACUACGUG